UGGAUUUCCUUUCCCAAAUUCCAUAAAAAUCCCUCGGGAUGGAUCCUGAGCCUCCUGGAUCCCGGAAUUCCUUGGGAUGGGAUCCCAGGGUCCAGUUUGGGAUUGGUGGGAAUGGGAUGGGAUUGGGAAUUUCCCAAUUUUUAUGGAAUUUGGGAAAGGAAAUCCAGGGAUUUUCUGGGAUUUGGGGUUUUUUUUGGGAUACCCCAGGAAUUCCUUCCCAAAUCCCAAAUCCUUCCCAAUCCCAUCCCAAAAUUCCAUCCCAAUCCCAAAUCCCAUCUCAAUUCCACCCCAAUCCCUUCCCAAAUCCUUCCCAAUCCCACCCCAAUCCCAAAUCCCAUGGAUGAUCCCAUUCCCAUGGGAUGAUCCCAUUCCCAUGGAUGAUCCCGUUCCCAUGGGAUGAUCCCAUUCCCCCAGGAUGAUUCCGUUCCCUUGGGAUGAUCCCAUUCCCAUGGAUGAUCCCGUUCCCAUGGGAUGAUCCCGUUCCCAUAGGAUGAUCCCGUUCCCAUAGGAUGAUCCCAUUCCCUCAGGAUGAUCCCGUUCCCAGCUGAUCCCGUUCCCAUGGAUGAUCCCGUUCCCAUGGGAUGAUCCCGUUCCCAGCUGAUCCCGUUCCCAUGGAUGAUCCCGUUCCCAUGGGAUGAUCCCGUUCCCAGCCGAUCCCGUUCCCAUGGAUGAUCCCGUUCCCAUGGAUGAUCCCGUUCCCAUGGGAUGAUCCCGUUCCCAGCUGAUCCCGUUCCCAUGGAUGAUCCCGUUCCCAUGGGAUGAUCCCGUUCCCAGCUGAUCCCGUUCCCAUGGGAUGAUCCCGUUCCCAUGGAUGAUCCCGUUCCCAUGGGAUGAUCCCGUUCCCAGCCGAUCCCGUUCUCGUUCCCGGGUGUGUCCGGGUGUGUCCGGGCGCGGGGUCCGAAGGUCCCGGCCGAUCCCGUUCCCGGUUAAUGAUUUCCCCGGAAAUCCUCGGGAUCGAGCUACGGGAAUCUGCGGGACUUGGAGAACCCCAAAUGGGGAAAAACUGAACCCCCAAAAACCCCAAAUGGGGAAAAACUGAACCCAAAAAUCCCAAAUGGGGAAAAACUGAACCCAAAAACCCCAAAUGGGGAAAAACUGAACCC
rnacentral:lncRNA from 1 species